rnacentral:rRNA from 1 species
CAUUUCAGUACCAAGCAAUUCUAUAGCACUAUAGAAAAUUUUAUGUUAAAACUAGUAACAAGAAGAACCCCUUCUCUUUAAUGCAAGCGUAAAUCAGCUAGGACCAACCACCGAUAAUUAACAUCCAUGAGCCCAANGUAGAAACAUCACAAGAAAAUACUACUUAACCCUAUGUUAACCUAACACAAGAGCAUUACAAGAAAGAUUAAAAGAAAAAGAAGGAACUCGGCAAACAUUAACCCCGCCUGUUUACCAAAAACAUCGCCUCUUGCUUAAUUUAUAAGAGGUCCAGCCUGCCCAGUGACUUUGUUCAACGGCCGCGGUAUCCUAACCGUGCGAAGGUAGCGUAAUCACUUGUUCUUUAAAUGAGGACUAGUAUGAAUGGCAUCACGGAAGGUUAUACUGUCUCCUUUCUCUAAUCAGUGAAACUAAUCUUCCCGUGAAGAAGCGGGAAUAAAUUUAUAAGACGAGAAGACCCUAUGGAGCUUUAAACAAACAUACAAUUGCCCACCUUAUUUUUAAUUCCAGAAUAAAAACUUUUAUACGGGCACCUUGAUAUAGAGUUUUAGGUUGGGGUGACCGCGGAGCAAAGAAUAACCUCCGCAAUGAAGGGGGACUUCCCCUAAACCGAGGGCCACGACCCAAAGUAUCAACAAAUUGACACUAUUGACCCAAUACAGUUGAUCAAUGAACCAAGUUACCCUAGGGAUAACAGCGCAAUCCACUUCAAGAGCCCCUAUCGACAAGUGGGUUUACGACCUCGAUGUUGGAUCAGGGUAUCCUAGUGGUGCAGCCGCUACUAAUGGUUCGUUUGUUCAACGAUU